UGCAGUCGAACGAGAAUCUGUGGAACGAGGAUUCGUCCAAGUGAAGCAGAGGACAGUGGCGGACGGGUGAGUAACGCGUGAGGAACCUGCCUUUCAGAGGGGGACAACAGUUGGAAACGACUGCUAAUACCGCAUGACACGCAGAGGUCGCAUGGCCUUUGCGUCAAAGAUUUAUCGCUGAAAGAUGGCCUCGCGUCUGAUUAGCUAGUUGGUGAGGUAACGGCCCACCAAGGCGACGAUCAGUAGCCGGACUGAGAGGUUGAACGGCCACAUUGGGACUGAGAUACGGCCCAGACUCCUACGGGAGGCAGCAGUGGGGAAUAUUGGGCAAUGGGCGCAAGCCUGACCCAGCAACGCCGCGUGAAGGAAGAAGGCUUUCGGGUUGUAAACUUCUUUUGUCAGGGACGAGAAGAAGACGGUACCUGACGAAUAAGCCACGGCUAACUACGUGCCAGCAGCCGCGGUAAUACGUAGGUGGCAAGCGUUGUCCGGAUUUACUGGGUGUAAAGGGCGUGUAGCCGGGAGGGCAAGUCAGAUGUGAAAUCCACGGGCUCAACCCGUGAACUGCAUUUGAAACUACUCUUCUUGAGUAUCGGAGAGGCAAUCGGAAUUCCUAGUGUAGCGGUGAAAUGCGUAGAUAUUAGGAGGAACACCAGUGGCGAAGGCGGCCAACUGGGCUUUUACUGACGCUGAGGCUCGAAAGUGUGGGGAGCAAACAGGAUUAGAUACCCUGGUAGUCCAC
rnacentral:rRNA from 1 species